GACGAACGCUGGCGGCGUGCUUAACACAUGCAAGUCGAACGGAAAGGCCCCUUUGGGGGUACUCGAGUGGCGAACGGGUGAGUAACACGUGAGUAACCUGCCCUUGACUUCGGGAUAACUUCAGGAAACUGGGGCUAAUACCGGCUAGGAAUCCUUGCUGCAUGGUGGGGGUUGGAAAGCUUCGGCGGUUUUGGAUGGACUCGCGGCUUAUCAGCUUGUUGGUGGGGUAGUGGCUUACCAAGGCUUUGACGGGUAGCCGGCCUGAGAGGGCGACCGGCCACAUUGGGACUGAGGGACGGCCCAGACUCCUACGGGAGGAAGCAGUGGGGAAUAUUGCACAAUGGGCGGAAGCCGGAUGAAGCAACGCCGCGUGCGGGAUGACGGCCUUCGGGUUGUAAACCGCUUUCAGCAGGGGCGAAGCUUGUGGUGACGGUACCUGCAGAAGAAGCACCGGCUAACUACGUG
rnacentral:rRNA from 1 species